rnacentral:rRNA from 1 species
CCAAUAGCGUAUAUUAAAGUUGUUGCAGUUAAAAAGCUCGUAGUUGAAUUUCGGGAUCAGCGCGUCGGUCGUGCCUCCGGUAUGCACUGGCGCCGCUGGUUUCUCCCUUCUGAGGAACCGUGAUGUCAUUAAUUUGGUGUCGCGGGAAAUCAGGACUGUUACUCUGAAAAAAUUAGAGUGUUUAAAGCGGGCACGCGCUUGAAUACAUUAGCAUGGAAUAACGAAAUAGGACGUUCGAUCUUAUUUUGUUGGUUUCUAGGAUUGACGUAAUUAUUAAUAGGGAUAGUUGGGGGCAUUAGUAUUCAAUUGUCAGAGGUGAAAUUCUUGGAUUUAUUGAAGACUAACUACUGCGAAAGCAUUUGCCAAGGAUGUUUUCAUUAAUCAAGAACGAAAGUUAGGGGAUCGAAGACGAUCAGAUACCGUCGUAGUCUUAACCAUAAACUAUGCCGACUAGGGAUCGGAUGAUGUUAAUUUUAUAAUGACUCAUUCGGCGCCUUACG